GAGUAACCUGCCCUUAACUCUGGGAUAAGCCUGGGAAACUGGGUCUAAUACCGGAUAUGACUCCUCAUCGCAUGGUGGGGGGUGGAAAGCUUUUUUGUGGUUUUGGAUGGACUCGCGGCCUAUCAGCUUGUUGGUGAGGUAAUGGCUCACCAAGGCGACGACGGGUAGCCGGCCUGAGAGGGUGACCGGCCACACUGGGACUGAGACACGGCCCAGACUCCUACGGGAGGCAGCAGUGGGGAAUAUUGCACAAUGGGCGCAAGCCUGAUGCAGCGACGCCGCGUGAGGGAUGACGGCCUUCGGGUUGUAAACCUCUUUCAGUAGGGAAGAAGCGAAAGUGACGGUACCUGCAGAAGAAGCGCCGGCUAACUACGUGCCAGCAGCCGCGGUAAUACGUAGGGCGCAAGCGUUAUCCGGAAUUAUUGGGCGUAAAGAGCUCGUAGGCGGUUUGUCGCGUCUGCCGUGAAAGUCCGGGGCUCAACUCCGGAUCUGCGGUGGGUACGGGCAGACUAGAGUGAUGUAGGGGAGACUGGAAUUCCUGGUGUAGCGGUGAAAUGCGCAGAUAUCAGGAGGAACACCGAUGGCGAAGGCAGGUCUCUGGGCAUUAACUGACGCUGAGGAGCGAAAGCAUG
rnacentral:rRNA from 1 species